CCUACGGGUGGCUGCAGUGAGGAAUAUUGGUCAAUGGACGAGAGUCUGAACCAGCCAAGUAGCGUGAAGGAUGACUGCCCUAUGGGUUGUAAACUUCUUUUAUAAAGGAAUAAAACGAGGCACGUGUGCCUUUUUGCAUGUACUUUAUGAAUAAGGAUCGGCUAACUCCGUGCCAGCAGCCGCGGUAAUACGGAGGAUCCGAGCGUUAUCCGGAUUUAUUGGGUUUAAAGGGAGCGUAGAUGGGUUGUUAAGUCAGCGGUAAAAGCCCGGGGCUCAACCCCGGCGAGCCGUUGAAACUGGCUGUCUUGAGAUGUCGAGAGGUAUGCGGAAUGCGCAGUGUAGCGGUGAAAUGCUUAGAUAUUGCGCAGAACUCCGAUUGCGAAGGCAGCAUACCGGCGGCGAUCUGACGCUGAGGCACGAAAGCGUGGGUAUCGAACAGGAUUAGAUACCCCUGUAGUC
rnacentral:rRNA from 1 species